rnacentral:rRNA from 1 species
GACGAACGCUGGCGGCGUGCUUAACACAUGCAAGUCGAACGGAAAGGCCCCCAUCUUGGUGGGGGUGCUCGAGUGGCGAACGGGUGAGUAACACGUGGGUGAUCUGCCCUGUACUUCGGGAUAAGCUUGGGAAACUGGGUCUAAUACCGGAUAGGACCAUGGUUUAGUGUCUCAUGGUGGAAAGAUUAUUGUUUUGGUGCAGGAUGAGCUCGCGGCCUAUCAGCUUGUUGGUGGGGUAAUGGCCUACCAAGGCGUCGGCGGGUAGCCGGCCUGAGAGGGUGGACGGCCACAUUGGGACUGAGAUACGGCCCAGACUCCUACGGGAGGCAGCAGUGGGGAAUAUUGCACAAUGGGCGCAAGCCUGAUGCAGCGACGCCGCGUGGGGGAUGACGGCCUUCGGGUUGUAAACUCCUUUCGUUAGGGACGAAGCCGCACUUUUUUUGGGUGUGGUGACGGUACCUUUGUGAAGAAGCACCGGCUAACUACGUG